rnacentral:rRNA from 1 species
AGAGUGAACGCUGGCGGCAGGCCUAACACAUGCAAGUCGAACGGCAGCACAGCAGAGCUUGCUCUGUGGGUGGCGAGUGGCGGACGGGUGAGGAAUACGUCGGAAUCUGCCUUUUUGUGGGGGAUAACGUAGGGAAACUUACGCUAAUACCGCAUACGACCUACGGGUGAAAGGCGGAGGACCUUCGGGCUUCGCGCAGAAAGAUGAGCCGACGUCGGAUUAGCUAGUUGGAGGGUAAUGGCCCACGAAGGCGACGAUCCGUAGCUGGUCUGAGAGGAUGAUCAGCCAACACGUGGGACUGAGA